AACCAAAUAAAAAAGAAAAAGUGGUCAGACUCAAACCCAAAUUUCCUUUCCAUAAACGUUCCCCAAGCCCAUACCCCACCCCAUGCCAGCCCCCAACGAACCCUAGAAUCUCAUUACCCUCAAACCUCCCCGUAAAACCAUAUCUUCCCCUUCCCCAAAUUCAUCCAAUUGAGCAACUUCCACCGACGAUUUCGUCUCUUCGACCUAUAAAUCACUAAUCCAAAUCCGACGACUCCUUUUAAUCUUUUUCGUCUUCUCUACCCCUUUCAUGAUGCUACUACCAUCCCCUUAAUUACAAUGACAAGGGUGGAAUUUAGCCAGAAAUAGGGCGGAUAGUGGAUAAGAUUCGUUGGCUCGACUGCUAUAUAGUCAGUCGGACGGCCAAAAGGAGUCACUCCUAAAUUCAGCCUAGCACUGCUCGUCCCAGGUUAUCUAAACUGCUUGUCCAGGGACAAAGGUUCGUCGAAAAGGAAAAUGGAUGUUGGCCAAGGAGGAAUCCAUAAACAAUUGAUUUUGUUUUCCAUGUGUUAUGCACAAUUGAAUGUAUUAUGGAUGGUGUAUACUUUGUAGAAUAGAUGGUAAUGAAAAGUUUAUGUCAUUUUUUUCAAUUAUA